rnacentral:lncRNA from 1 species
GCAGACGGAAAGUCACGCAGUUGUUUGAGACUCGCGCAUCUUUCCUCCUGGUCAGAGUCUUGCUCUGUCACCCAGGCUGGAAUGUAACAGCAUGAUCUCGCCUCACUACAACCUCCGCCUCCUGGUUCAAGUGAUUCUCCUGCCUCAGCCUCUGUAGCCUCUGGGAUUACAGGCGCCCGCCACCACACCCAGCUAAUGUUUUGAAUUUUUAGUAGAGACGAGGUUUUCCCACGUUGCUCAGGCUGGUCUCAAAUUCCCGAGCUAAGGCAAUCUGCCCACCUCAGCCUCCCAAAGUGCUAGGAUUACAGGUGUGAGCCACCACACCCGGCCUCCAUACCCUUUAGCAGUCACUCCCCUCAGCCCCUGGCAGCCACCAAUUUACUUUCUGUCUCUAUAGAUUUCUCUAUUCUGGACAUUUCAUAUUAUAGGGUCCAGUCCUACGGGACUUAGCGGGUGUUCUCCUCAUGUGCGGAGAUGAGGGAUUGUAAUAAAUAAAGACACAAGACAAAGAGAUAAAGAGAAAACAGCUGGACCCGGGGAACCACUACCAUCAAGACGUGGAGACUGAUAGUGGCCCCGAACGGCUGGGCGCACUGUUAUUUAUUGCAUACAAGACAAGGGGGGCAGGGUAAGGAGGGUGAAUCUUCUAAGUGAUUGACAAGGUGAAGCAACUCACGUGAUCAUAGGACAGGGGGCCCUUCCCUUUUAGGCAGCCGAAGCAGAGAGAGAAGGCAGUGUAUGCCAGCGUUUUCUUCUAUGCACUUACAAGGAAGAUCAAAGACUUUAAGACUUACUAUUUCUUCUACCACUGUCUACUACGAACGUCAGAGGAACCAGGAGCAUGGGAGGAACAUGAAAGCGGACAAGGAGCGUGACCACUGAAGCACAGCACCACAGGGAGGGGUUUAGGCCUCCAGAUGACUGCGGGCAGGCCUGGAUAAUAUCCAGCCUUCCACAGGAAGCUGGUGGAGCAGAGUGUUCGCUGACUCCUGCAAGGAGAGGAGACUCCCUUUUGCGGUCUGCUAAGUAAUGGGUGCCUUCCAGACACCGGCGUUACCGCUUGACCAAGGAGCCCUCAAGCAGCCCUCCUGCAGGCAUGACGGAAGGCUCACCUCUUGCCUUCUAGCUCACUUCUCACAAUGUCCCUUCAGCACCUGACCCUAUACCUGCCGGUUAAUCCUAGGUUAUAUUAGUAAUUCAACAACGAGUAAUAUUAAAAGCUAAUGAUUAAUGUU